rnacentral:rRNA from 1 species
GACGUAGGGCGCGAGCGUUGUCCGGAUUUAUUGGGCGUAAAGAGCUCGUAGGCGGCUUGUUGCGUCAGCUGUGAAAACCCGCAGCUCAACUGUGGGCUUGCAGCUGAUACGGGCAGGCUUGAGUUCGGUAGGGGAGACUGGAAUUCCGGGUGUAGUGGUGAAAUGCGUAGAGAUCCGGAGGAACACCAGUGGCGAAGGCGACACGCUGGGCCGUACCUGACGCUAAAGCGCGACAGCAUGGGGAGCAAACGGG